GACCCGCGCCGACCCGGGCGCGCGCCCUGCCGCAGAGCCGACGUAGGAGAAGGGCUGGCGCUGUUUUUGCUGGUGACUCUCAACUCUGACACCCGUCCUGGUCUUGCUGCGUUUUGGACAGAGUUUGCAGGGACUUUGGAGCUGAUCGGCUUGGAGCCGUAGCCUUUGAUAUUUGCCAAGAAACUCUGGGCAAAAUACUUGAAUUCUGAGUCGCGGUCUCUGUGUUCACAAAAUGGAGAUGAAGAUAUCACCUAGAGUUGAUGUGAAAAAAAGAUGGAAUCAGUGUGAAAUGAGAGAGGGGUCUUAAAGUGUGGAAGACUAUGUUCAAGACACCAUUUUCACCUGGUAACCUAGAGUCACCAUUCUAAAACAUACAUCAGAUCAGUCAUAGCAGUCUCUGCUUAAGAAGCUUGUGUCCCUCGUUGCCUACAUGACAUUCAGCCUCUUAAGCAAGGCCUGAGACCCCAGCAAGAGAAACAGUCCAAUGACAGGAGACAAGAUAGUUGGCCUUGGGCUGCCUCCUCUCUUCCAGACCAGGAGGGAGGCUGGAUAGCUUUGGGACGCCCCCCACCACCAAGAAAACAAGCCCAUGAUUCAGACAAUGCGGGGCAAGCUCUCUGCACUUUCCUCCUUGGUUUGUGCUCUUGAAUUCUUUCUCAUGGCAUAAGACAAGAACCUGGUCACCAGAGCUCCGGCCCGGGGUCCCUCUUUGCACUCCUGCCCAGACGAGCUCUCUAGCAUCAAAAACACAGCUUAAACCUCCUUGAUGCCUUUCUUGUUGGCAGGGAUGGUCUGCC